rnacentral:lncRNA from 1 species
GGAGCACUACACAAAACUGUUGUGGUGCAGAUUAGGGUUGCAGCACAAUCACAGAAGACGAAGCUCACUCGUCUCAUAAAAUACUCGGUUUUUAACUGUCUAGGGUUAUUUUUAAUACUUUAUUUUGUUAUACUUUCUCGUGUCUUUUAAAAUGGGCAAUGGUUUAUUAUAAUAAAAAAUAAAAAGACCUCAUCACCUUUCUUUCUUCUCCGACAUCGCACAACCUCUGUUUUUCUUCUCUAAACGCCUUUAAUCUCAGUGAGUUCCAUUCUCCGCGAGACCUGUUUCUUCUCUAAACGCCUUUAAUCUCAGUGAGUUCCAUUCUCCGCGAGACCUGUUUCUUCUCAGCAGAGUGAGUUCUUUCUUUCUCACCACUGAUUACCCUGUUCU